rnacentral:rRNA from 1 species
UACAGAGGUCCCAAGCGUUGUUCGGAUUCACUGGGCGUAAAGCGUGCGUAGGCGGUGUCUUAAGUUUGUUGUGAAAUCUCCCGGCUUAACCGGGAGGGUGCGGCGAAUACUGAGAUGCUGGAGUGCCGGAGAGGUAAGCGGAAUUCCUGGUGUAGCGGUGAAAUGCGCAGAUAUCAGGAGGAACACCGAUGGCGAAGGCAGGUCUCUGGGCCAUAACUGACGCUGAGAAGCGAAAGCAUGGGGAGCGAACAGG